rnacentral:rRNA from 1 species
GACGAACGCUGGCGGCGUGCUUAACACAUGCAAGUCGAACGGUGAAGCGCUUGCCUUUUUGGUGGGUGUGGAUGAGUGGCGAACGGGUGAGUAACACGUGAGUAACCUGCCCUCUUCUUCUGGAUAACCUCAUGAAAGUGGGGCUAAUACGGGGUAUUCCGGGUCUGUCGCAUGGCGGGUUUGGGAAAGAUUGCGCCUUUGGGUGUUUUCGGUGGGGGAUGGGCUCGCGGCCUAUCAGCUUGUUGGUGGGGUGAUGGCCUACCAAGGCGGUGACGGGUAGCCGGCCUGAGAGGGUGGACGGCCACACUGGGACUGAGACACGGCCCAGACUCCUGCGGGAGGCAGCAGUGGGGAAUAUUGCACAAUGGGCGCAAGCCUGAUGCAGCGACGCCGCGUGAGGGAUGGAGGCCUUCGGGUGGUGAACCUCUUUCGCCAGUGAAGCAGGCCUGCUCCUGUGUGGGUGGGUUGACGGUAGCUGGAGAAGAAGCGCCGGCUAACUACGUG